GAAGGUAUGGCUGAGUGGCUUAAGGCAUUGGUUUGCUAAAUCGACAUACAAGAAGAUUGUAUCAUGGGUUCAAAUCCCAUUUCCUCCGGAACAGAAGUGAAACGGGCGGGCGAAAUGACGUGAGAGAAAGAACCUCUUGGUGGAGUCCAGCCCCCCAGAAUAGCACUACUUAGUGACUAGGAGCGGAGAGACCUUUGCGCGUUCUUUUUGUUUGAUCGGCCUAUCUUCUUUCUAUAAGCAAGCUCCCUCCGGCUGUCCAGGGGCUGGGCGGCUCUCGGUUCUUGAGGGGGAUUAGGCGGCAGUUGAAAGAGCUGCUCGAAAGCUUGACGAAGAAGCGAAAAAGGCCUAUAUAUAGAUUCUAUUCUUUCUUAUUAUUCAUUAUUAUUCUAUUUUUAGUACAAGGGCUUUUUACUAGUCAAGUGGUAAGGUAGGGCGCUAUUCGAUGAAGAAAACAUCUUUUAGGAAAGUGGUUCAGGUAGCUCAGCUGGUUAGAGCAAAGGACUGAAAAUCCUUGUGUCAGUGGUUCGAAUCCACUUCUAAGCGGGCCAAGGGUCCAAAGGCCGGAUUUUGAAAUUCAAGUGCAAGAGUAAGCCAAAAAAUGUGAGCGCUCCUGCACUAUACGGCUUUUUUGCGUCGCCCUAUCUUGCUGGAGGCAUAUUCAAAAUAGAUAUAUAAAAUAGAAAAUAUAUAAAAUCUAUCAAAAUGGAAAAAAAGAAAAAGAAAAGAAAAAAAAAAAAAAAGAAAAAAAGCUGUUUCUUAGGUUCUCGCGUCCCUGUGCCCAAAAGGAUGGGUGAGUUCGGUUUGAGUGUUCAUCGAUCGGGUGGAUCUAUAUGCUCCGGGGUGGUGAGACGAGGUGUAGCGCAGUCUGGUCAGCGCAUCUGUUUUGGGUACAGAGGGCCAUAGGUUCGAAUCCUGUCACCUUGA
rnacentral:ncRNA from 11 species